rnacentral:guide_RNA from 1 species
AAAACAAUACAAGAUGACAGGUAUAAGUUUGAAUGAGUAAUUUAU